AUAUAUUUCACUGUCAUGCCUUACCUCUUAAGUUCAUUCAAGAGACGACCCUGGUUGCUAUAUAGAUGAUAAUGGCCUAUCUCUUAUUAGGGUUAAGUGGCAAAACGACAUGGACGAUGCAAUGAAAGUGCUCCAACGGAUCAUCUAAAACCAAGCACCAAUAGGUAAGUGGGGAUAUGUUUAUGACAAAGACAUCUUUCACGUGUCUAAUUUGCACCAAUACUUGUGUCCUAUGUAUAUUAAUAAUGGGCAUUCUGUGAUGAAGAAGCAGAUGCAUGGUGUAUAGAAAGAUGCUUGACAUCUGAUAAUGAAACCAAACAAGAACUUAUUCUUUUAAAUCUUUUAUCAGAAUCUGUAAUUGUAUCAAAUUGGGAAAUGAGGUGCCUGCCAGCCAUCAUCCUGAUAGCCUAUAUAAGCAACCCCUUGGUCUCCAAAACUUUGCAGCUCUUUCUCAUUAUCAAUAUAUGUAGAGGCAAUUACGAGACAUUAUGUAUGUAUAUGUAUUAAUCAAGGCUUUUCUCGUUCACUCUCCCUCAAGGGCUUCCCCAACAUGACAUGCAUGGUGCUAGCUUAAUGCUGCCUGCAUAUGGAAAUGCUUGGCGAAGUCCUUAGGGGGGGUGCAUGAGACAUUAUUGUCUUGUUGCAUGCUUUCUGUCAGAUCAGAUCACAUCAGUAAUGCGGACUGUGCAUAAGCGUUUCCUCCAUAGAUGGUUCAUUAAUCUCGCGGCACACUCUUCUUGAUCGUUGGCCGAGGAACCUGAGCUUGAAUUGCCUCAAGUAUAUUGAACUGCCAAACGUACCAAGGUUGCUAAAACCAUGAACUGUACAAGUGUGAUUUCGGCAAUCUCUUGUGGACCAGAUUAUUGAUUUCAUGGAGCUGUUGCGGUCAUCUUCUCGUUAUGACCAUGUACGAAGUUUGAUUUCCCCAUUCAGUAUGUUGGAUCUUGUUUAACUUACAGUUUUUGGCAACUGUGUGGGAAUGAUAUAUGAUUAACCAUCGGCAUGGAA